rnacentral:lncRNA from 1 species
AAAAUGACUGCCAAAAAGUUUAUAAGCUGCAACAUUUUAAGUAAAUUUUAUUAUUAAUGAAUACACAGAAAUUGAAAGUAAACUCAUGGCUUCAACCUUUAUACCAAACCUCCACUCAAGAGAGCAGCAUGGUUUCCAGCGAUGGUUAAACAUUUCCACCAAGAAGCCUUAGUGAAAUUGGAAAGUAAUUGGAAGACAAAACAGAAAGAAAAGGAACCUGACAUCAAAAUAGAGAUUUUGUAACGGCUUAAGAACAGAGACCAGUUUGGAAGAUCAAGAGCCAUUAGGUUACAGAACUGUGAGUGAAUGUCACAUGCAUUUUAACUAGUAUUCCUUCAUUGUUUGAAGAACAAGUGUUCAGACAAUUCAUUCCUCAUGUCACAGAAUGGGCUAUAGAUGAUGAUAGGAUUCUCUCCUGGACCACGCUCUGGUCAUACUCCUCUGAGAUCCCUUUUUGAUUAGGCCCCAACUUGGGUUCUGUUCUUGGCCUAGUUAGUUCAAUUAGGCAAGAAUUCUGCUGGUUCAGUUUAACGAAAAUCCCUUAUCUUUGAUAUCUAAUCAAAUUUCUUAUCCCCCCCACAUUCAGUAUCUUAUCACCCUGGCUGCAUUCAGCAAGAAUUUUGCUAAGUCAGUUUAGCCAGAAUCCCUUCGAGGUUUCCUCUCUAGUAAUUUUCCACCCACUGACCAUCACUUAUCCAAAAUCCCCACUUAUCCUGGUAUUCAGAAUGCAGCCCCGUUCUAUACUGAGGUCUCUCUGUCCCCAGUGCAAUAGUUCCUGAAUAAAAUUUGCCUUCACUGCUUUAACUUAUGUCCAGCUCUGCUUUUCUUUCACAGUGCCAGCUUCUGUUCACAACCCAGCUUCCAGUUAACAGUUUGCCCAAGUGAAUUUUUAAAUACUGUCAGAGCAGUACAAUGUUGGAUAAAGAGCAU